GCAAAGGGGAGUAACUUCAUUGUCGGUCGAUCGUCAUUACGAUGUGUGCAAAACCACAUCCGGUCACCGGGCAACCCGAAAGGAAUACGCAGAUGUGUUCCUUUCAGACUGAUGGCAAACGUAAAGUUGCCUGAUGCGCUUCGCUUAUCAGGCCUACAUUGUUCCGGCAAUCUAUUGAAUUUGCAUGGUUUUGUAGGCUGGAUAAGGCGUUCACGCCGCAUCCGGCAUUAACAAAGACACUUUGUCACCAAUCUGAAAGGAAUACGCAGACGUAUUCCUUUUUUGUUGUAAGUGAGACCUUGCCGGAAGGCGAGGUCUAUGCAUAAAAAGCAGCGGCUGACGUCUUCCGACGUUGGCCGUUUUUU
rnacentral:misc_RNA from 1 species